GAUGAACGCUGGCGGCGUGCCUAAUACAUGCAAGUCGAGCGAACGGACGAGAAGCUUGCUUCUCUGAUGUUAGCGGCGGACGGGUGAGUAACACGUGGAUAACCUACCUAUAAGACUGGGAUAACUUCGGGAAACCGUAGCUAAUACCGGAUAAUAUUUUGAACCGCAUGGUUCAAUAGUGAAAGACGGUCUUGCUGUCACUUAUAGAUGGAUCCGCGCUGCAUUAGCUAGUUGGUAAGGUAACGGCUUACCAAGGCAACGAUGCAUAGCCGACCUGAGAGGGUGAUCGGCCACACUGGAACUGAGACACGGUCCAGACUCCUACGGGAGGCAGCAGUAGGGAAUCUUCCGCAAUGGGCGAAAGCCUGACGGAGCAACGCCGCGUGAGUGAUGAAGGUCUUCGGAUCGUAAAACUCUGUUAUUAGGGAAGAACAAAUGUGUAAGUAACUGUGCACAUCUUGACGGUACCUAAUCAGAAAGCCACGGCUAACUACGUG
rnacentral:rRNA from 1 species